rnacentral:rRNA from 1 species
AGUGAACGCUGGCGGUAGGCCUAACACAUGCGAGUCGAACGGCAGCACAGUAAGAGCUUGCUCUUACGGGUGGCGAGUGGCGGACGGGUGAGGUAUACAUCGUAAUCUACUUUUUCGUGGGUGAUAACGUAGGGAAACUUACGCUAAUACCGCAUACGACCUACGGGUGAAAGCAGGGGAUCUUCGGACCUUGCGCGAUUGAAUGAGCCGAUGUCGGAUUAGCUAGUUGGCGGGGUAAAGGCCCACCAAGGCGACGAUCCGUAGCUGGUAUGAGAGGAUGAUCAGCCACACUGGCACUGAGACACGGUCCAGACUCCUACGGGAGGCAGCAGUGGGGAGUAUUGGACAAUGGGCGCAAGCCUGAUCCAGCCCUACCGCGUGGGUGAAGAAGGCCUUCGGGUUGUAAAGCCCUUUUGUUGGGAAAGAAAAGCAGCAGGUUAAUCCCCCGCUGUUCUGACGGUACCCAAAGAAUAAGCACCGGCUAACUUCGUG